UACAGAGGAUGCAAGCGUUAUCCGGAAUGAUUGGGCGUAAAGCGUCUGUAGGUGGCUUUUUAAGUCCGCCGUCAAAUCCCAGGGCUCAACUCUGGACAGGCGGUGGAAACUACCAAGCUGGAGUACGGUAGGGGCAGAGGGAAUUUCCGGUGGAGCGGUGAAAUGCGUAGAUAUCCGGAGGAACACCGGUGGCGAAGGCGGCUUCCUGGACCGACAUUGACGCUGAGGAGCGAAAGCCAGGGGAGCAAACGGG
rnacentral:rRNA from 1 species